UGGGGAAUAUUGCACAAUGGGCGCAAGCCUGAUGCAGCCAUGCCGCGCGUGUGAAGAAGGCCUUCGGGUUGUAAAGCACUUUCAGCGGGGAGGAAGGCGAUAAGGUUAAUAACCUCAUCGAUUGACGUUACCCGCAGAAGAAGCACCGGCUAACUCCGUGCCAGCAGCCGCGGUAAUACGGAGGGUGCAAGCGUUAAUCGGAAUUACUGGGCGUAAAGCGCACGCAGGCGGUCUGUCAAGUCGGAUGUGAAAUCCCCGGGCUCAACCUGGGAACUGCAUUCGAAAGUGGCAGGCUAGAGUCUUGUAGAGGGGGGUAGAAUUCCAGGUGUAGCGGUGAAAUGCGUAGAGAUCUGGAGGAAUACCGGUGGCGAAGGCGGCCCCCUGGACAAAGACUGACGCUCAGGUGCGAAAGCGUGGGGAGCAAACAGG
rnacentral:rRNA from 1 species